ensembl:lncRNA
GUGUAUGAGUGAAAUCUCACUGGUGUGUGUGAGUGAGUGAAAUCUCACUGGUGUGUGUGUGUGAGUGAAAUCUCACUGGUGUGUGUGUGUGAGUGAAAUCUCACUGGUGUGUGUGUGUGGUAGUGAAAUCUCACUGGUGUGUGUGAGUGAAAUCUCACUGGUGUGUGUGUGAGUGAAAUCUCACUGGUGUGUGUGAGUGAGUGAAAUCUCACUGUGUGUGUGAGUGAGUGAAAUCUCACUGUUGUGUGUGAGUGAGUGAAAUCUCACUGGGGUGUACUUACUUAUUUGAACAUGUUAAGAAUCUCCAGAACCUUUUUAGAAUUGAAGGUUUCUUAUCUGUUUUCACUUGUACUGGUGUCUCGAGCCGAGUGACCGUGACCUCCUCCACCAAGAAGAGUCUCUCGGUUGAAGAUGGAGGUCGUUUCUUAUCUGUUUUCACUUGUAUUGGUUUCUUGGGCCGAGUGACCCCGACCUCCUUCUCCAUCCAGCAGAGUCUCUCGGUUGAGGGAGGAGGUCGUUUCUUAUCUGUUUCCACUUGUAGCGGUGUCUUGGGCCGAGUGACCUUGACCUCCUCCACCAAGAAGAGUCUCUCGGUUGAAGAUGGAGGUCGUUUCUUAUCUGUUUUCACUUGUAUUGGUUUCUUGGGCCGAGUGACCCCGACCUCCUUCUCCAUCCAGCAGAGUCUCUGGGUUGAGGGAAGAGGUCGUUUCUUAUCUGUUUCCACUUGUAGCGGUGUCUCGGGCUGAGUGACCUUAACCUCCUCCUCCACCAAGAAGAGUCUCUGGGUUGAGGAAGGAGGUCGUUUUCUAUCUGUUCUCACCUGUAGCGGUGUCUUGGGACGAGUGACCCCGACCUCCUUCUCCACCAAGAAGGAGGAAGAGGAAGGAGGUUGUUGGUGGGGUUCUUUGUCGUUCUCUAAAACCUGUGAGAUACAUCCGGGGGAUUUAAAAUUCCUACAUGUCCUUUCUGAGACAGGCGCGAGUGGACGGACAGCUUCAAAACA